CAUCCUUUUCUUCUUCUUUUCUCCUCUCCUCUGUUUCCACAAACUUCAAUGCAAACAUAACAAAACCCAACAUUCAAAAUAUCCUCUAUUUUGUUAAUCACCAUUCUACGCGCCAUUGUUUUAUGAUUACCCAAUUUCCGUUUGUUUCUCGGGAAAAUCACAUUGGAAAGAAACCGUGUUGUGGGGUGUGUGUGUGAGGAGUAGAACGUAUGGCGUACAAGGUGGAUCACGAAUACGAUUACCUCUUCAAGAUUGUAUUGAUUGGAGAUUCGGGUGUUGGAAAAUCGAACAUUCUUUUGAGGUUUACGAGGAAUGAGUUUUCUUUGGAGUCUAAGUCCACCAUUGGAGUUGAAUUUGCAACUAGGACAUUGCAGAGUACACUGUUCACAAUGGCAAAACAGGGGACAUCUUCUACUUCAUUUGGGAAGAAGAGGUUGAAGUCACUUGUUUUAUUAAUGCUGGUGACUAAAAUGAACUCGAGUUCAUGUUAAAACGAUGUCAUAAUUUUCAUUAUGCAACGUUCGGGUAGAACUUUCUAGUUUGUACUAUAAGGCAGCCGGUAGCUCUACAAGCAAAUAACCGCUUGCAACCUUUUCUUAGUGCAUAACAUGUGCAAUCAUCGAGGGUAAUCCGAUGGUUAACGUCCUUCUGCUCAAAGAAGAAAAUGAUCCGACCCAGCUUAGGUACUUGGACCAUGAUGACAAUUGAAAAACUAGAGAGCCAGUAGCCAGUUGAAGAAAUGUUGCGAAAUAAGAAGAAAAACCUCCUGACGUACAUCGCAUGCCAUGCAUCCAUAUUGACCUUGGGAUACAUCCACAAGUCAAGAAACAAGCAUCUUAGUCGGUAUGCUCAAACAAGUGAGAGUGGGAAUUGAGAAAAUGCAGCUUGCUAAUAUUCCUAGCUCUCCCACCACUGGUCACUCGAUUGAUUGUUGUUCUUGGCAUAAUUUGCAUGGUAGGGCAUGCAUUGUGCAUACGUAUAUCUAUCGAUGCAUGAUCAUGUGCCAACAUCUAGAACACGUGGGUGCGUAAAGAUUUUUAUGCCACCGAUACAUGAUGCUACUCUGAUAUUUUUCAUGUGUAUACGUCGUUGUUUGCAAAUGU